rnacentral:rRNA from 1 species
UCUAAACGACUCUCGGCAACGGAUAUCUCGGCUCUCGCAUCGAUGAAGAACGUAGCGAAAUGCGAUACUUGGUGUGAAUUGCAGAAUCCCGUGAACCAUCGAGUCUUUGAACGCAAGUUGCGCCCGAAGCCUUCAGGCCGAGGGCACGCCUGCCUGGGCGUCA